UACGGAGGGUGCGAGCGUUGUCCGGAAUCACUGGGCGUAAAGGGCGCGUAGGCGGCCUGAUAAGUAGGGGGUGAAAUCCUGCGGCUUAACCGCAGGGCUGCCUUCUAAACUGUCAGGCUGGAGCACAGUAGAGGCAGGUGGAAUUCCCGGUGUAGCGGUGGAAUGCGUAGAGAUCGGGAAGAACAUCAGUGGCGAAGGCGGCCUGCUGGGCUGUUGCUGACGCUGAGACGCGAAAGCGUGGGGAGCGAACAGG
rnacentral:rRNA from 1 species